rfam:Gossypium hirsutum cultivar TM-1 chromosome 15, whole genome shotgun sequence
AAUCUAUGGUACGAGCAUUUUUAAAUCAACAUUUUGAAAUGUUCCCACGCCUCAUAGAAACUUUCUCCCUCCAUCUAUCUUAAAAAAACAAUCUCUCUUCUUAGUGG